UACAGAGGGUGCGAGCGUUAGGCGGAAUCACUGGGCUUAAAGCGUGUGUGGGUGGAUGUCUAAGUACCUUGUGAAAUCCCACGGCUUAACCGUGGAACUGCUUGGUAUACUGGAUGUCUUGAGCCAGCUAGGGGCUACCGGAACAAAUGGUGGAGCGGUGAAAUGCGUAGAUAUCGUAAGGAAGACCAGUGGCGAAGGCGGGUCUCUGGACAGUUCCUGACGCUGAGGCACGAAGGUCAGGGGAGCAAACGGG
rnacentral:rRNA from 1 species